UAUUCGCAUUUGUCACAUUAGAUGGAGGGUAUUAGAGAAAAAAGCUCUCUCUCUUUCUCUCAUCUACUCCCAAACACUCCCCUCACUCUCUCUCUCUCUCACUCUAAGCUCUUUCUCUCUCUCCCUCUCUUGAAGCAGGAAGAAGGAGGAGAAUGAGAGGAAGGAGAAGAAGGAAAAGAGAAAAAGAAGAAGGAGGAGGGCUUGGAGAGGAUCAUAU
rnacentral:lncRNA from 1 species